UACGUAGGGGGCAAGCGUUGUCCGGAUUUAUUGGGCGUAAAGAGCGUGUAGGCGGCCAAGCAGGUCCGCUGUGAAAACUCGAGGCUCAACCUCGAGACGUCGGUGGAAACCGUUUGGCUAGAGUCCGGAAGAGGAGAGUGGAAUUCCUGGUGUAGCGGUGAAAUGCGCAGAUAUCAGGAGGAACACCGGUGGCGAAGGCGGGUCUCUGGGCCGAUACUGACGCUGAGGAGCGAAAGCGUGGGGAGCGAACAGG
rnacentral:rRNA from 1 species